GAAAUGGAUGAAAUGAAAGAGCUACUACCAUUUAUUGAAUGUUGAAUAUGUGCUAAUCACUGGACAAGGAGGCUUGUGCCUUUGUGAUUAGCACAUACAAGGAUCAUAUAAAUGUAAUCAUCUCAAUUCCUCUGUGAAGUACGUCUUUUUACCUCCAGAAGGACUUAAGAUUCAGAGAGGGUAAGAGGCUUGCCCAAAGACCGCAGCUACCAGGUGACAGAUCAGAAUUCAAAUGCAGGACGACGGCAAGAUGCUUACUAGCAGAUCAUUUUAAACGAGCAUGCCUGGCACGCAGUAAGCACUCCGUAAGUAGUGUCGUCUGCUACCACUGGUGUUCUUAGAAAGGCUCUGGCCCAACCCUAUCCUAGAAUCAUCACUCCAUUGCAGGCUUGACACUGGAACCAACUCUUUGCUCUGGAAUUAGGUCAAAUCAUUGCUGGCUUCAGGCCCUUCUCCAUUAAAAAACGUACCCAUGGAGAUAAUGAAUGCACUGAAUUUCUACCAGUCAUUACGCCUUGGUGUCAAUCAGAAGGAAUGUCCCAUAGGAAGGCUAGGACUGGGCAUUCCUCUCUACCUAUCACAUGAUUCGAUGAGCACAGGGUGCUGUGGUUUGAUGUAUAGAGUCUGCCUUUCUUAAAGGAGCCCUGAUUGUGGCCUGGAGGGGCCUAUGUGACAUGAUUCCCGUGAGGCCAGCCUAGCAGAGGGCAGGAUGGCUAUCUCUCUACUGUGGCUACAGCUGCCUUUGGAGCUUUCUCAGGAAUCCCGGGUGUCCACUGAUUGAACAAAUGUACACAAACACAGCAGAGCCUGCUCCUGCCAGAAACAGACUCAAAGCUACAGCGACCAGUCCCAGAAAAGUUCCCCCAGGCCAGCUCAACUCCCACCAGCAGGGGUCACACCUGAGCAGCCAGAAGGGUGAGGGGCCCUGAUAGUCUGGCCUACCAACCAGCAAACCUUUGUAUGCUGCGGGUGAGGUCCAUACUCAGUCAGCACAUGGAAGGGGAACUGGAGGAGAACAUUAAGCUGAGAGGAGGUCCUGGUGGGCUGGGGCCAACUCCCCAGGAGCAGAGGAAGCAGCCAGCAGCCUGGAUGGGCAGAGGUGAGACCAGGCUGGGCCCAGAGGGACUGAAGCUGCUACUAGCAUGGCACGGUCCUGGGAGCUUUGAGGACACCCACAGAGACAGACGGUGCACACCGAGGGUUCCGCUGCUCAGGAACAGGCAUGGAGAAGAAAGUUGCACUUAGAAGCCCAACAGGAGUUUUGCAAGACAAAAGUUUAAUGAAAGGAGAGAAGAGCACAGAAACUGAAGGUAUUUGUUAAGGAAUUGUAAUGAAAAACUAUAGAAUUUGAGCUGGACUCGGAAGGAAGUAAAGCUAAGCAGGUGCUGGUGGAAAAUGAGGGAUGAGUGGGGUCAAAGGAUUAAGGGUCUCCAAGAAGGCAAAGAUUUGUAAAACAGGAGGUAUCAGUGCAAGAAAGGUAGAACAAUUGGUAAGUUGGAAAAUGAUGUGUUUGAAAUUGAGAUUUGCAAAGUGGUGUAGUUUAUGUUGCCUGCAAGACAGAGUAUGGUCAUAGGAAUGAGGAGGACCACAGAAAAAAACAUGGCUGGA
rnacentral:lncRNA from 10 species